CAUUAGGACAUACAUACAUACACUCCUUCAUUUCCAGCCAAUCUAGACUCAGGGGCCAUAGACUAACCGUCUGUGGAAACUUUGGUAAAAUCAAAUCGUAUUUGGAUUAUGUACAUAUGUAUAUAUUCUUAUGGAUAUAUGAAAAGGGUGAUGAUUGUACAUGUUAACAUAAGGAGAAUUGUGAAUAUACAGUUGACAGUUAUUAAACAACUGGACUCAGUAAUUUUCCAUACAAUAUGUAGGAAUCGAGUGAAUAAGGCAUUGGCCUAGAGUCAUAAUCAUUGAUACAUACGUACAGAAGCAAAUAAUCUUGUGCAUAAAUCAAAAAAUGAAAUUACAGACGAAAACUUUAAAACAAUUUAAUUUGCCAACAAGCAGUUUUGCUAAUUGACCAUUUGCAAAAAUAAAUAGUUUGCAGACAUGCAUUGAUUUUCCUGUAUACAUAUUUUUUUAUUUCUCACGUAGUAGUACUUAUCCUUAGUUAUGUGCAUUGUAACUUAUUGGUGAUGAAAUUCGGCGUGGUUGCUGCAUUAAUGUGCUGAACAUACCCUUAUAAUAAGGAAUUGAUAAUAUACAUCCGUCAAUCAGAGUGAGGUAUGUUUGGAAGACCCCGAAAUUAAAAAAAGGCGAGAAUCCUUAUCUUAUCGUGUUUACAUGUGGCAGUGAGUUGAAUAAUUGUGACCCAAGUUCAGCACAUCAAUGUCAGCAUUAUCUGGCUAAUUCGGGAAGAGGUUUGGUAUCAUCAAAUGAUAACUUGCUUCAAAGUUUAAUCAGAUUGUAAUGUAAUUUGCGGACGUCGAGAGAAGACUUUGGAGUGGCAAUUUUUAUGGGGAUUUUCGCUGUUCAACUGCCACAUAGCGUGACUCUCCUCUUGAGCCAAUUGACUCACGGCUAAUUCUAUGUGGCAGUUGACCAAAAAUAUUCGUCGUAUAUUAUCCUUAAUAUUUUGAACUUUGGAUGACCUGCAGUUUCUUCAUCUGUGGUGGUGGUUAAGCAAAUUUAUGCAUUGAUGAUUUGAUUUAUGCAUGCAUUGGCAAUUAUUUAGAUAUGAUUUAUUAUGAAUUUGUAGCCCAGAUGGACAACAACGUUAAUACAAGUAUGCAGGUAGACACAAAUUUUACAUGAGAAAAAAAGUUGUAUUUAUUUAUUGAAUAUCAAUACGCAAUAAUAUGCAAUCAUUUUUUGGAUGACUUCUUGCCCCCACCAUCUUUCGACCCCCCCUUCGAGUCACCGCCCCCCUUCUUGGAAUUCUUGUCCUUCUUGUCCUUGUCCUUGUUCUCCUCACCACUGCCCGUGCCCCCAUUUUUAGUUCCAUGUUUGGAUUUCGAGUCCUUAUUGGAGGAGGAGUCCUUGUGAGCUGGUGCGGCUGGGGCUGUGACCUUUGGAAUUACUUUUGCGUCUGCCAUGAUGACGGUGAGUUUAUUUAAUUAUGGAGGAUUAUAUGUAAGUAUUAAAGUCUGUAUUUCCGGUAAUACUGCUGUUGAAUUCUGCCAAUAAAUAAGUAAAUAUAUAUAUAUCAAUAUA